CACGUAGGGGGCGAGCGUUGUCCGGAUUCAUUGGGCGUAAAGCGCGCGUAGGCGGCCCGGUAAGUCGGAUGUGAAAUCUCACGGCUCAACCGUGGAACUGCAUUCGAAACUGUCGGGCUAGAGGCAGGUAGGGGAGAUCGGAAUUCCUGGUGUAGCGGUGAAAUGCGCAGAUAUCAGGAAGAACACCCGUGGCUAAGGCGGCUCUCUAGUACGGUACUGACGCUGAGACGCGAAAGCGUGGGGAGCGAACAGG
rnacentral:rRNA from 1 species